CUUAACCCUAGCAUUCAAUUCCCAAUUUCCCUUUCUGGCUCUGUCUCUCGUUCUCCCAUCGAUGCCGGCCUCCACCUCUGCAUCGACGUCGGCCACCACUCCACCUCUACAUCGACGUCGGUCACCGGUCUCACUCCCUCGCCAUCUGCCUCUGGUCGUCUCUCUGGUUGGCUUUUGCAGUCGCCUCUGCGUCAACGCCGGCUUCUGCAGUUUGCCUCUAGUCGUCUCUAUGCCUCGUCGUCCUCACUCCCUCCGGCAGCUCUACGGUUGUCGCUUGUCGUCUGCAGCACUGCGGCUCUACCUCUGUCUCCGGUCGUCUACGUAGGUAGCUACUGGCUAGGUCAAUUUGCAAUUUCUAUUUACAAUUUAAGAUUGCAAUUUGAAAGUUAUUUAAGUUUUAUGAAGUGGUUAGAAACUUAGAAAUAGUUUUGUUCUUCCUUGAGAAUAUGUUGCUACUAUCUAGUGUUGCUGUAAAUAUGUUGCAAUGUAUGCUUAAGAACAAGUUGUCUGAUUGAGAAGAACAAGUUGAUUGCUUUAAUGAGGAAAGAUGAAGACUAUUUGGCCCAUCUACUUGGGCAUGGUAAGGCCUUCUGGACUUGGUAAUUGCUAUGAAAUUUUCAGUUGGUUAUAUUUCUAUUUUAUUUUAUGACAUUUGGUAAUUAAGGCCUUCUCUUUGUAAGGAUUAUUUGAGGAAAGCUGAAGACUAUUUAAGUUUUAGAUGACAUUUGUUAUGGAUUUAAAUACCUAAACAUGGAUAACAUAUUUUCCAGAGGGCAAAGGGAGUUUGCUUUUCUUCUUAAAAACCAAAGGCUAGGUUACCUGACUUACCUCCAUAUCUUCUGGUGUUGGAGGUGAAGGAAUGCAUCAGUCCUCAAUAGCUUAUAUCUUUGGCAUGUCAAUACACCUAAUAGACUCUGGCUUGAAAAUGGUUGAAUUCUUAUCCAUUACUUGUUUGGUUCUUCAGCUCUCUAUUUCUAGAUUGUAUGGCUUGCGCACCGAACAUAUUGACUUAGGAUGUAAGAAAACAUUUAUUUAUUUAUUUUGCAUGAUUGUUGUCAACAAUUCAUUUUCAUUUACUGAUUUACAUCAAAUUGGUUUGUCCCAUAAAAUUCAUUUCAUUAUAUAUAUGCCUAUUAUUUCUUAUUCAUUUUCUAUCUUGCAGAACUUGCAGGUUAUCUACUUAUGCUGCAGAACUUGGUCGACCUUUUGAUUUGUGUUCAAUUUCUUAACAUAUCUUGUUUCUUUAAAACUAGUUUCCUGGAUUGCGCUAAGAUUUAUGUAACAUCUCCAUCAUUAGUCUGUUGUCAUUGCCCCUAACAACUUUGAAGGGAAAGAGAUUGGCUCCAUAAGGGCAUAAAACCCACCUUAGGAGCCAGAGGAAAGUUUUUGAAUGUCCUCCCUACCUAGAUCAUAUUCCCUAUUAAAACAAUAGAAACAACUGAUUGGUCUUUUGAGUUUUGACCCUCAAAAGAAUAUAAUUUGUGAUUUCUUAAAUUGUAUGAAACUUUUUUUAUUGCAGAGAUUUUGCUUGUUUAUUCUCCUGAAGACGUAGUCUAUGGUGACUAUGCAUAUGAGAUUUGGGAUGAGCAGUUGAUAAAGUACAUUUUGUGUUUCUAGCAAUAAGUCUUUGUGAAGAUCUCUAUUGAUGCCAAACUGAGGCUUGUGAUUUCAAAGCUAGAAGUGAGAUGAUAAGCAGGGGUUUGAGCGCACCACUGUUCUUGCAACACUUGAGGCAAAAUUAGUUCAAAUGCAAAAGACUUGAGGCAAAA